UGUCAAUCACAAAUGUCAUUUUUCCCAUGAUUCAAUAAUAAUCCUUUCUCUCAUUUCGAACCAAAUUUUGAAAAGAAAAAUGUUAUAUCCACGAGAUUUUCUAUCAAUAUUUCCGUCCAUAGAUACAAGAAAUUUGAGAAAUUGGUUUGAAAAGUUAACAACUACCGAUGCCACGAACGAAUUCCCACAUCAGAAAUUCUGCCUCAAAAUCAGGGGAAGAGAACAAAUGAUUACAACUUGUCCGUUUUGUCAAAGUAGAAUAAUUACUCAUGUGACCAAUAUUCCGGACGAAACUAAAAACUUCACUGCUUGCGUUGUCUUCACAACUUGCUGUCUUUUAGCUUGGAUACCACUGAUACAACAAUGAAAUGAUUUAUAAAAUCCUCUUAUAUACUAGUUUUAGUUGACACUAAAUGGAAAUUACAAAGUGAAAAAAUGAAAAUGGGGAUAUAGGAAAAGCAUUGAAGAUCACUUCAUAGUUUUUGAAAAAAUUCUACCAAAUAAUUUAUAUACUCCAGAAAAUUUGCUGAACAAAUGCGCCAAUUUAAGAGCUAUUUAAAGCACAUUCCGAUGAGCAAAUAUUUUCAAUAAAAACAUUGCUAAACCAAUUUACCAUUUGCAGAAUUUUGAUAUAAGAAGAAUUUCAAAACGUACAAUUUCAAAAAAGUCGAGUUGAAACGAGAUGCUACGCUCUCGUGAAGGUAUUAAAAACAUUUGUAAAAAUUAUUAUUUAAAAAAGUGGAUAUAGAAGUUUAUGGAUAAUGUAGUUUAAAUUGAGAUACAUUUUCCAAGAAACCUAUUUAUCAAUGGUGUAACUAUAAUAUGAGAACAUUCCAGUUAUUAGAAAUGGAAAUUAUUAUUCAAAAAUAGUUAAGGAACACAAAAAUUGUUAAAAGGACAUUUCAAUAUGUGAUGUUUUCUUUCAAUCCAGUUGACAGGAGAGGACUCAAACAAAGCGAACGUGGACAAGGAUCAUUAUGUGAAUAGCUUCGUUCUAGAUUCUUAUAACAAAAUUGUACCAGUAUGAAAAUAAUGUUUAUGAGCAAUUUAGGAACCAACAGAAAGCGACUGUAAAUAAUCCCCAUCUCACUUCUUUACUACCUAGAGAGAAUCGAGUAUAAGAGAAUAAGUUGAAUGGGAAAUAUCAAAAUAUGGAGAUGAAAUUUUAUGAUACUUUACUUAACGAUCCACAGAAUAAUAGUCUCAUUCUCUAUUUCCCUUUAAUCUUGAAUAUUAUCAAGUUCCGGAAAAUUAAUUCUAGUAUUCUCAAAUUUAUUCCUUGUAAUUAAAAAAACAUACUAAGUACUUACACUUAUUUAGGAAUUGGCUCACUGCGUAGAUAAGUUUUUCAUAUUCAAAUAUCAAAACUAAAAAUAUAUAACAUAGAGAGAGUACACAAAUUAGGUGCUAAAGCA